UUUAAUUUCAUUAAAUUCCCCUCAUCCUUUUCGAUUCCUCAGCAAGUUCUGCCUUUAGCAAUUUGACGCCAAACAAACAACCCACUACCCAGCAAAUAGCAGACGUUACCACACCAAUUUUAAUUUCAUUAAAUUCCAACCAAAACGUCUAUCCAUUUGGAUUCCUCAGCUUCUUUAAGGUCUGCCCCUUUGACAUAGCAAUUUGAGGCCAAACAAACAACCCAGCAAAAAGCAGCCAUGGAUGGUAUCCGUCAGUUGCAGAGACAGUUACACAACUUUCCUUUAUCGCGAGGUCAGUAUAUUUCACAAAGUUGCAGAGACAUUUACACAACUCCCCUUUAUCGCGAGGGUUUAUUGGAUGAUCAGUUUAGGGAGCUUCAGAAACUGGAAGAUGAGAGCAACCCAGAGUUUGUUGUUGAAAUAGUAUUACUCUUCUUUCAAGUUUCUGAGAAGCUUCUCAAUAAUUUGACCUCUUCUCUACAAGAACAGAUUGUAGAUUAUAAACAGGUGGACGCCCAUGUCUACCAGUUCAAGGGUAGUAGUUCCAGCAUAGGUGCACCGAGAGUCAAAAAUAUGUGUGUUGCUCUCGGAAACUACUGCGAUGAGAAGAACCUUGAAGGGACAAACUCGGAGCUAUUUGUGCUGUUUUUCUUGUGAUGUCGUAUGCGUCAGCUUAUUUUGAGCUGUUCAACAAGAUUCAUAACUAUGCCUACCUACAACUCUGUUAUGCUUCUUGUAAAUAGUGCGAUACCAUAAUGUGAUGUUGGGAUGAGUUGGAUGUUCCAUGCAGGUGUGUGAGAUGCCUGCAACAAUUGAAACAUGAAUAUAAUCUCGUGAAGAGCAAGCUUGAAGCUUUGUUAAGGCUGGAGCAAAAAAUCUUGGCAGCUGGUGGGUCAAUUCCGGUGAUGGUGCAAGUAGAAUUAGUUUAAUUUCCACACU